AGAGUUUGAUCAUGGCUCAGAUUGAACGCUGGCGGCAUGCCUUACACAUGCAAGUCGAACGGUAACGCGGGGCAACCUGGCGACGAGUGGCGAACGGGUGAGUAAUACAUCGGAACGUGCCCAGUAGUGGGGGAUAGCCCGGCGAAAGCCGGAUUAAUACCGCAUACGACCUACGGGUGAAAGCGGGGGAUCGCAAGACCUCGCGCUAUUGGAGCGGCCGAUGUCAGAUUAGGUUGUUGGUGGGGUAAAGGCCUACCAAGCCGACGAUCUGUAGCUGGUCUGAGAGGACGACCAGCCACACUGGGACUGAGACACGGCCCAGACUCCUACGGGAGGCAGCAGUGGGGAAUUUUGGACAAUGGGGGCAACCCUGAUCCAGCCAUGCCGCGUGCGGGAAGAAGGCCUUCGGGUUGUAAACCGCUUUUGUCAGGGAAGAAAUGCUCUGGGCUAAUACCCCGGAGUGAUGACGGUACCUGAAGAAUAAGCACCGGCUAACUACGUGCCAGCAGCCGCGGUAAUACGUAGGGUGCGAGCGUUAAUCGGAAUUACUAGGCGUAAAGCGUGCGCAGGCGGUCGUGCAAGACAGGUGUGAAAUCCCCGGGCUUAACCUGGGAACUGCAUUUGUGACUGCACGGCUUGAGUACGGCAGAGGGGGAUGGAAUUCCGCGUGUAGCAGUGAAAUGCGUAGAUAUGCGGAGGAACACCGAUGGCGAAGGCAGUCCCCUGGGCCUGUACUGACGCUCAUGCACGAAAGCGUGGGGGGCAAACAGGAUUAGAUACCCUGGUAGUCCACGCCCUAAACGAUGUCAACUGGUUGUUGGGAAGGUUCCUUCUCAGUAACGUAGCUAACGCGUGAAGUUGACCGCCUGGGGAGUACGGCCCGCAGGUUGAAACUCAAAGGAAUUGACGGGGACCCCGCACAAGCGGUGGAUGAUGUGGUUAAUUCGAUGCAACGCGAAAAACCUUACCUACCCUUGACAU
rnacentral:rRNA from 1 species